CAGUGCUACACUCUGUCUCUGUUUCCCAGUGGUUGUAUCACUGGCAAACAGAGACAGAGUGUAUCACUGGGAAACA